rnacentral:misc_RNA from 1 species
UUGGUCUUGGAUCAUAUGGACUUUCGAGUUCAUGAUCUUAAAAUCAUUGGCGGCGCAACAUGAAUCCCAAGCGUAGUGACACUAUUUUUUGCUUCGAGGAUUUGUGAUGUGGUAGCCAAAAACUUGUGACUGUACUCCGGUGCUUUCAAAAUUUUUCUUUGAUUGACCUCGGAUCAGGUAGGGAUACCCGCUGAACUUAA